CCACCCGCCAAAUCUUUCCCCCAUGUACUAAACAUGACGAAUCAGUUAUCAACACUUGCGCCGAACUUUGGGCAACAGGCGUUAUGGAGAAGCUCCUCAACAGAUUGCAGCAGGCAAUGCAACACCUUCCUCUGGUUUUUGAUUAGUUUGCCAGCACCAUUGAGAUUAUAAUUAUCAGAUCACUAGCAAAUCAAGUAGACUUGCCUCAAAAGGUAGUGCAGGGUCUUUCCAACCUGUAUAGUCUAGUCAAUGCUGAAAUGGAAGAAAGAUGUGCCCCAUCAAUUGUUGAGUUGGAUGGUGAAAUGGGAGGUCCUAAACUGAUUGUGUCAGAACAGCACCUUCGACAGGUGAUUGAAAUGGAUCUGCCUGUACCUUGCAACUGCUUGGCAUCUCAUCAAAAACUGACUAACGUAGAAUGCAGGAAUACGGUAUCAUGGUGAGGGGAACAUACAGCCAAAUGAUAGACGAGGAGCUGGACAAUCUGGUGGACACAAUCAAGACAAGUUCACCACAAUUAGGAUGGUGAGUUAACGUCUGAAAGCACUGGGUCAUCGAGUCCAGUGGACCCGAGUGUGGGACUCAGUGCAUCGUGUAGAUGAUGCAGGAAUACAGGAAAGAAUGGCACAACUUGGAUGUGUUGUCAGAAGAACAUACUCUGUUUGUCUUUCACUCAUACAUGUGGACACCAACCACAAGUUGAUCAGUGUCAUCAAACCAGAUCUGUGGACACAAACCGGAAAAGAGCUCGGGAGAUAAUGAGCGAGAAUCUUGAGGUCACCUACAAGGGAGAAGAGCGUGACUUUCUGAAGAAUGAGUCAAUACAAAGGAAACAAGACGAGGAAAAAGGCAAAAGAGAAGUUGGAGAAGACUGCUCAAAGAGGCACUGUUAGCAGAUUCCAAACCAAGGGAUGAAAAGGCUUUCUUUUUUUUUUUACCCUGUGAAAGGAUGAAAAGGAUGCAUGAACAUAAAAUUCAGACUGAUCAACAAAUGUGUCCUACCUCAUUGUGAUCUGUGUUGUAAAUAAAGAGCACCUAUUGAAAUCAA